rnacentral:rRNA from 1 species
CCUACGGGUGGCUGCAGUGAGGAAUAUUGGUCAAUGGGCGGGAGCCUGAACCAGCCAAGUCGCGUGAGGGAAGACGGUCCUAUGGAUUGUAAACCUCUUUAGGCGGGGAGCAAUGCCGGGCACGCGUGCCCGGAGGGAGAGUACCCGCAGAAUAAGCAUCGGCUAACUCCGUGCCAGCAGCCGCGGUAAUACGGAGGAUGCGAGCGUUAUCCGGAUUUAUUGGGUUUAAAGAGUUGCGUAGGUGGCAUAAUAAGUAGCUAGUGAAAUCUGGUGGCUCAACCAUUCAGACUAUUAGCUAAACUGUUAAGCUCGAGACCGUUAGGGGUAACUGGAAUUUCUAGUGUAGGAGUGAAAUCCGUAGAUAUUAGAAGGAACACCAAUAGCGUAGGCAGGUUACUGGGACGGUUCUGACACUAAGGCACGAAAGCGUAGGGAGCAAACGGGAUUAGAUACCCUUGUAGUC